rnacentral:tRNA from 1 species
GGCCGGGUAGCUCAGCUGGUUAGAGCGUGGUGCUAGUAACGCCAAGGUUGCAGGUUCGACCGCUGUACAGGCCA